rnacentral:rRNA from 1 species
GAUGAACGCUGGCGGCGUGCCUAAUACAUGCAAGUCGAGCGAACAGACGAGGAGCUUGCUCCUCUGACGUUAGCGGCGGACGGGUUAGUAACACUUGGAUAACCUACCUAUAAGACUGGGAUAACUUCGGGAAACCGGAGCUAAUACCGGAUAAUAUAUUGAACCGCAUGGUUCAAUAGUGAAAGACGGUUUUGCUGUCACUUAUAGAUUGAUCCGCGCCGCAUUAGCUAGUUGGUAAGGUAACGGCUUACCAAGGCAACGAUGCGUAGCCGACCUGAGAGGGUGAUCGGCCACACUGGAACUGAGACACGGUCCAGACUCCUACGGGAGGCAGCAGUAGGGAAUCUUCAGCAAUGGGCGAAAGCCUGACGGAGCAACGCCGCGUGAGUGAUGAAGGUCUUCGGAUCGUAAAACUCUGUUAUUAGGGAAGAACAAAUGUGUAAGUAACUAUGCACGUCUUGACGGUACCUAAUCAGAAAGCCACGGCUAACUACGUG